rnacentral:misc_RNA from 1 species
GUAGGUGAACCUGCGGAAGGAUCAUUAACACGUUUUCCGAACGUUUACAUGAACCCAUUUAUUUUCCGUGAACAUUCAACCGGCCUCCCGACCCAACCUUCUGGUUUACUGGAUGUGUUCUGGUCGGGCGUCAGCAGGGUACCAUGGGCACCACUUUCAGAAGGAUUGUUCGGGCGAAAUGCCUGUCUUUCUUAGUAUGAUCGACCGGAGCUUCCUGCGGGCGUUGCCACCCAACCCAACCCUUGAAUCUAAUUGUUCUGAACUUUGUAGUUGGUGUGUGCGGAGGAAACUCUGUGCCCCAGCGAAUUCUAAAUCAACAACAACUCUUAACAAUGGAUAUCUUGGUUCUC